UGUUUUGUGGCGUAGUUGGUUAACGCGCCCUAUCUAGAGAAUGGAGGAGUCGUGGGUUCAAAUCCCACCUGAACAA
rfam:Aedes albopictus isolate Foshan contig88590, whole genome shotgun sequence.